CCGACCUACGGGGGGCAGCAGUGAGGAAUAUUGGUCAAUGGCCGAGAGGCUGAACCAGCCAAGUCGCGUGAGGGAAGACGGCCCUACGGGUUGUAAACCUCUUUUGUCGGGGAGCAAAGAGAGUCACGUGUGACUCAUUGAGAGUACCCGAAGAAAAAGCAUCGGCUAACUCCGUGCCAGCAGCCGCGGUAAUACGGAGGAUGCGAGCGUUAUCCGGAUUUGUUGGGUUUAAAGGGUGCGCAGGCGGAGGGGCAAGUCAGCGGUCAAAUGGCGGGGCUCAACCCCGUACGGCCGUGGAAACUGCA
rnacentral:rRNA from 1 species